rnacentral:rRNA from 1 species
GAUGAACGCUGGCGGCGUGCCUAAUACAUGCAAGUCGAGCGAACAGACGAGGAGCUUGCUCCUCUGACGUUAGCGGCGGACGGGUGAGUAACACGUGGAUAACCUACCUAUAAGACUGGGAUAACUUCGGGAAACCGGAGCUAAUACCGGAUAAUAUAUUGAACUGCAUGGUUCAAUAGUGAAAGACGGUUUUGCUGUCACUUAUAGAUGGAUCCGCGCCGCAUUAGCUAGUUGGUAAGGUAACGGCUUACCAAGGCGACGAUGCGUAGCCGACCUGAGAGGGUGAUCGGCCACACUGGAACUGAGACACGGUCCAGACUCCUACGGGAGGCAGCAGUAGGGAAUCCUCCGCAAUGGGCGAAAGCCUGACGGAGCAACGCCGCGUGAGUGAUGAAGGUCUUCGGAUCGUAAAACUCUGUUAUUAGGGAAGAACAAAUGUGUAAGUAACUAUGCACGUCUUGACGGUACCUAAUCAGAAAGCCACGGCUAACUACGUG